GAUCCUUGUACACACCGCCCGUCACACCACGAGAGUUUGUAACACCCGAAGUCGGUGGGGUAACCUUUAUGGAGCCAGCCGCCUAAGGUGGGACAGAUGAUUGGGGUGAAGUCGUAACAAGGUAGCCGUAUCGGAAGGUGCGGCUGGAUCACCUCCUUUCU
rnacentral:rRNA from 1 species